rnacentral:rRNA from 1 species
GACGAACGCUGGCGGCGUGCUUAACACAUGCAAGUCGAACGGAAAGGCCCUGCUUUUGUGGGGUGCUCGAGUGGCGAACGGGUGAGUAACACGUGAGUAACCUGCCCUUGACUUUGGGAUAACUUCAGGAAACUGGGGCUAAUACCGGAUAGGAGCUCCUGCUGCAUGGUGGGGGUUGGAAAGUUUCGGCGGUUGGGGAUGGACUCGCGGCUUAUCAGCUUGUUGGUGGGGUAGUGGCUUACCAAGGCUUUGACGGGUAGCCGGCCUGAGAGGGUGACCGGCCACAUUGGGACUGAGAUACGGCCCAGACUCAUACGGGAGGCAGCAGUGGGGAAUAUGGCACAAUGGGCGGAAGCCUGAUGCAGCAACGCCGCGUGCGGGAUGACGGCCUUCGGGUUGUAAACCGCUUUCGCCUGUGACGAAGCGUGAGUGACGGUAAUGGGUAAAGAAGCACCGGCUAACUACGU